CCUACGGGAGGCUGCAGUGGGGAAUAUUGGACAAUGGGGGCAACCCUGAUCCAGCCAUGCCGCGUGUGUGAAGAAGGCCCUCGGGUUGUAAAGCACUUUCAGUGAGGAAGAACGCCUGGUGGUUAAUACCCAUCAGGAAAGACAUCACUCACAGAAGAAGCACCGGCUAACUCCGUGCCAGCAGCCGCGGUAAUACGGAGGGUGCGAGCGUUAAUCGGAAUUACUGGGCGUAAAGCGCGCGUAGGUGGCUUGAUAAGCCGGUUGUGAAAGCCCCGGGCUCAACCUGGGAACGGCAUCCGGAACUGUCAAGCUAGAGUGCAGGAGAGGAAGGUAGAAUUCCCGGUGUAGCGGUGAAAUGCGUAGAGAUCGGGAGGAAUACCAGUGGCGAAGGCGGCCUUCUGGACUGACACUGACACUGAGGUGCGAAAGCGUGGGUAGCAAACAGGAUUAGAUAUCCUUGUAGUC
rnacentral:rRNA from 1 species